rnacentral:lncRNA from 1 species
UAGUCCAACCCCCUGCAAUGCAGGAAUCUUUCACCCAACACGGGGUUCAAACCCCUGACCUUGAGAUUAAGAGUCUCAUGCUUUACUGACUGAGCUAUCCCUCUGUAUCCUGGCCACUGACAACAAGGAUGAUAUAAACAGUUCUAAAAUCACCACAAGAAUAGACACAAUGAAAUGCAUGAAUUUCAAAGCCAUGUGAAGUGCUUUUAAAAAUUGUGUGUGUGUGUUUUAAGUGCUGUGUAUACAUAAUAGAACUAUUAACGUUUACGGCACAGUACUAUAUAUGCCUACCAUAAGCAGACCCCAGCAAAUUCAAACAGAUUCCUCCCAUGUAAAUGGAUAUCGGAUUGCAGCCUUUAUUUCUUAAACAAAUUGUAACAGAGUAAUUUUCUAUAUUAAUAAGAAAAAGAAAUAUAGGCACUGUUAUUACCAAAUCACUUUGAUAUUUCAGCUUGUUACUCAAUAUAAUCAAUGGUGUAUUGUGGUUGUAACACAGAUUCAAAUAAAUUCCGUUUUUCAUAUUUCCAUAUAUUAUUUUUUCCUCCUCGCUUCUUGAUAAUCCCUCUGAAAGUGUGACCUUUAUUAUAUAUAGCCACAUGAAAUGCUUGUAGUGUUUUGAACUCCCUGGUUCAUAGAAUCCUGAAACUCCCACUUCUGCUUCUUAGAGUAUUGUUCUAAUCCUCAUGAUUGCAGCUUGAAAUUAUAAUAGCAAUUUGUGUGCAAUCCAGGGCGAUUUAAAUCAUUGGAAGGAUAUGGUGUGUAUAUAUAGUAUAAAACCUCAGGAACCCAAAGCAAAAAUAUGUUUAAAAAUUAAUAGCCUCAUAUUGUUCAGAUUAUUAUGCAUUUGUCAUGACUUUAGAUGGGUUGACUCAUAUUUGUUACUAACAAUUCCAGUGCGUGAACAUCUCAGAAUUAAGUGCAACAUUUCCAUUAGCAAUGACUUGGUUUUCAGUGCCCAAGGCAGAAUGAUAAGCAAAUCGUGUUGCAGCGUAAUACAAAAAUGCAAAAGAACAGCAAUUUUCUGUCAUAAUGUGGCAGCAAUGAGGCCCAAAUGCCAAAUACUUCAGCAUUUCCAACUCCAUCCUUCCACAGAAAGUACAUUUACUCAGCACAUUCUCCACAGAUUAUUCAUUUGUGGAAAAGAUCACUAAAUUUCAAGGCCAAAUUACAUGUUAUGCUAAAUAUGUCACUUGUAGUUGCAUGAAUCUUUUAAAAAAUGUUCGUAGCAGCUGUUGAAGGACCUCAGACAUGACACGUGGGAGGAGAUCAACAUUUUCUUUCACACCAUGGUCCUGACAACUAUCUCACUGCCACCCCCUGCUAUUUUCAGUUCCCACUCAUGCCAGAGGAAGUUCCCUUCCAAGGUCUAACAGCUUCAGGAUGGUGAUUUUUGUCAGGUCCAUGUCACAGGUGCAAAGGUUAAAGAAGAGCCCUCCUGCUUGCCCAUCCCACUCCCCAGCAGCUGCUGUUUACUAUUUUAAACAGAUUUCUGCAGCUACAAGUGAUGCAAUAGCUUUGUGUAUCAUUUGACUCUCAGUGCUCAGAAAAUUAGCUCCAGUGUUUGCACAUUCAUUGAUUGCCUAACAUUUAAUAAUUCACAAGAUCAAACAUGUGACACAUGCAGACCCAUUGGUUUAAGUCUAGAUUAGCCCAAUAAUGUAGGUGGUGGUGAUGGUAAUAGGGUGUAUGGCAUUUAGGGCAAAAGAGAAUGGGUGGUGUUAUGUAUUCAGUUGUCUGUGUUUUUCUGAGCUUGAGUCUAGGCUAAGGAUUCUUAGCCCCUGUGUUCUGAUUCGGUAAAAGGUAAAAGGUAAAGGACCCCUGGACAGUUAAGUCCAGUGAAAGGCGACUAUGGGGUUGCAGCACUCAUCUCGCUUUCAGGCUAAGAGAGUCAACAUUUAUCCACACACAGCUUUCCGGGUCAUGUGGCCAGCAGGACUAAACUGCUUAUGGCGCAACAGAACACCAUGAUGGAAGCCAGAGCGCAUGGAAACGCUGUUUACCUUCCCGCCACAGCAGUACCUAUUUAUCUACUUGCGCUGGCGAGUUUCUGAACUGCUAGGUUGGCAGGAGCUGGGACAGAGCAACAGGAGCUCACUCCAUCACAGGGAUUCGAACCACCGACCUUCUGAUCGGCAAGCCUAAGAGGCUCAGUGGUUUAGACCACAGUGCCACCCAUGUCCCUUCUGAUUCGAUACAUGAUAUCCAAUCAUGUAGCAUUAUCAGGUUUUGGGCUACUGGCAUUGGCCCUUAAACUCAUGAUUUAUAGCUUGGAAUUUUAGGCAGCCAAUCACGUUGGGAAUGGGAGUGGCCCAGGCCUUCAGAAAUAUAUAUAGGCAGUUGCUUUGUCCCUGUUGUCAAGUUCUGUUAGUUCAAUAAACAAUCUUGCUGUUAUCACUGUCUUGCCUCAUGGAACCCACCUACACUUCAGGUGAGGAAAGUGGAACUCUCAGUAUACCUCCCUUUCAACCGAGAGGCUGUCAACAUGGUACUUUCAACAGCCAUGGAUGAUGAGAAUGUUCCACAUUGGCUAUCCAUGGCAUAGCUCUUCAUAUUCGCUUGUCCUUAGUGGUUUUCUUUCCCAGAUGAUCUCACUGUUGGUAUCAGAGCCCACCAGGAGAAAGAAGACAUUAGGAAAUAUAUCAGGGGUAGGUUUCAGCAUCCAGGUUUUCAGCACUCUCUUUCCUCAGACAUCCCCCACCUCUCUGGAAUUCGUCCAGAUAUGAAUUUAAACCAAUGAGUUUAGCACCAGCUAAACAUGUGACCUAACUUCAUUAAAAAAUGUUUUGGAGGAUUGAAGAGCCACCUUGAACAAUUAGAGACCGAGCAUUGGCAGUGAGAUGAGAGAUCUCUGCUAAUACCUGUCUUUAUUACAGUUUUUUAUUGUUUUGUGUUGUAUUUUUGUUUAUCACUUACAGAUUUUUAAAUAUUAAGUGGUUUAAAAGUGCUUUUAAUCCUGGAUCAGUACGGCUCAUCACCUGCAGAUCAAGGGUGAUCAAGUUAUUCAGUUAUUCAGUGUUUCACUAUUUAUUUCAGAUGUGGUACAGAGAUAAAAGGGAAGUUUUAACAACCGCCGUAUGUUCCAUUUCCAAAUUGUAAUGCCAAUACAGUUUAAAAAAUAUAUAUUUUAAGAAAACAUGUUUUCUGAAAGGGCAAGACUAGUCUUUUCAAAAGGGAAAUAAAAAUAGAAAUCUACAGCUUUGCCAAAUUCUUUUCCAGGAAGUCUGAUACUGAGGAUAAUAUUGAUGCAUUAAUUAGUCUGUUUGGAUAAAGAAUUCAUUUAGAUUUAAUAAAGGUCCUGUUCUUGUCAUUGCAUAGAUAUUUAAAAUGAAAUCUGAUUAGCAUGCUGCUGUGGGCAGCAAAGAAAAUGGCCCAAUUCUGUUGCCACAAUCACCAAAAGGCAAUGGUCAGUUCACAUCAGGCAACUUAAUGCAGUCAGUGGGCUGGAACCAUAGGGUCUGUAUGCUGCAUGCUGUUACUUCUUGUAAGCUGUUAGCUGUUUUUAUACCUCAGUAUUGAAUUUCAGAAGGAUCAAGUCUGCUGUUGGACAUUAUCUUAGAAAAUGGCUUUGCGGAGGGGGUAUAUAGUACUCAUCACAUUUGAUGAUGGUACAAUAAUGGUUUGGGGUUGCAAAUCUCUAGCUGUGCCCAGAGUAGAGGGUCGUGCAGUCAAUAUCAGAAUGAAAUUCAACCAGGACAAAAUACAUGCAUUCUGGGAAAAUAUAAAAGUUGGGAAAAAAACUGACCCGACUAUAGCAGUUCUUAGGGUGAUGGGUGAGAUUAAGCUUAGUGCGGGGUACAAAACAAGCAAAUCAGCUGUGGUGCUUAAGAACAAUGCCAUUUAAGACAAAACAUGGAACUUAGUUUUCACAUUUUCCUAACAUAAUAGGCAUGUUGAACUAACUUCAUAGAACAUAUUCCAGAAGUCCAGUUUUGAAGUUACCAGCUCUGUGGCCAGGCUGUGUUGAUGGAGGAAGAACCAUAGCUAGUGCUUCAGUUGGCUCCUACCCUCUGUGGCAAAAAAAUUAAAAUAAAAAAUAGGGGAAGCCAGAGCAAUACCAGUUACAUAUCUGCUAUUACUUCAGAAGGAGUGCAACUCUGUCUAGAACAGGCAACCCACCUGGGUGCAGGAACAACAUACUUAGUAGUCCUCCAUCUUGUCAGCACCAUCUUUUUGGCCCUCAUCCUGCAGCCCUCCAUGGUCUUUAAGCACUGGUCCAGGACGUACAGCCACACCUGGCACAGAUAUAACAGAGAAAUAGAGAUUGGUGUCAUCUUUAUGCUGGUGAUACCUCAGCCCCAGUCCCCUAAUGACUGUUCUCAAUGGCAUCACGGGAUGAUGCCAAAGAUUCAGAGUAGGAAGAGCUUGUAGUGCCUCUUCACCUCUCCUGUGUUGUCCUCUUCUGAUGCAGAAGACUGUAGCUCAGAAGCCCUGGUGAAACUAGGGUCUCUCACUCUGCCCCAGCAGUCAAUGACUGCUAAUACGGCUACUUUCAGAAAAGGUGGGGCUAGCUGCUGAAAUAGCUGCUAUCCAAGAUGUAGUCUGGAGAUGUCUGCUGCUAAAACAACAUCUGAGCUCUGCUCCCAUGAUGUGUUUAGUCUGUGUUCUGCAUGGAACUGUUCAGGAUGCCCUCACCUCUGCUGAGGCCAGUGCUUGCAACAAUGCUUGCAACUCUGGAUAUAGAGUGAGGGUUUUGAGAUGUGGCCACACUACAGCCACCUUAAUGAUGGCUGAUUCUACUACCGUUCAGAAAGAUGCAUUUGCUUCUUUCCGGACCCCCUGGCAAACACCCCCAUCUUGCUUGUUUGAAGCAGCCAUGAUGGGCAAGGGUUGGGAGGGCAUGUGGUUGGCCAACAACCACAAGAACUAUUUCCACAUCCUCAGGCUUCAAUAGCUGAAACUAAUCCCAUAAUACCAGACUGGAGGGUGCACUGAACAACUCACUUGGACCUGUCACAACAAUGGCAUCCAAAUCCCAAUGGAGAUAAUUCAUUUAAUUUUUCAAGUGCCUUCCAAACUUCCUGCAGCAGGCUUCUGAGGGGAGAAUCCAACUAAUUUGGAGGACAAUCCAAUUAAAGUUAAGCAAAUUGAAAUCCCUUUGAUUUCAAUAGAAGAUUUAAGUGCAUGCUUAAUUCUCUCUGAUUCAGAUCAAUGGGGUUUCAAUGUGCUAAACUGUGGCUGGAUUGUGCCCAAAAUUAUUGUGUUUAUGUGGAAUUUAGGACCACAGUAGGGGAACUUUCUUUAAGUACAGCAGUAAUUCCUAGCUCAAAUAGAAUUCUGUUAAUAUCAACUAUAUCAUUUCAAAUCAGAUGACAUUGCUGAACAUAUAGUAGUCAUUUCAACAUGUUUCAUCCCAUUAAGUUUUUUAUGAUAUUUUUAUUGUACAUUAAGUAAAUGCUCCUCUAACCUUGCACUGCCACAUUUUACUUCCCAUGGCAUUUUCAAUACACAACAUUCAUUAAAGGGUAUGUUAUGAGCUUAAGUGGUACAAUGGACCAUAUCACAGAGAAGGAGAUUAAAGCCAUUAACAGAAAUUACAAAGCAAAUACUUUCGGAAGAGAUAUGGCCAUGCAAAUAUGUACAUUAAAGAGAGAAGACAUCACUGGGAAGGAAACUUUGUAUAGCAGUGGAACUCCCAGCUCUCCCCAUUGGACCCUUGAAGUCAUUUUGGCCAAGGCACGCCUGUAUGCUCUACCUCUGACAUAAUAUAUGAUUGCCCGUGUUUGCAACAUGCUGUGCCUUUGUCCACAUGGUUUGAUUUCAAAGGAAGUAAAAGGAAAACAGGGCACUGUGGUGUCAUUGUGAUGUCACAUGAUUGACUGGUGUGAGGUUCCACCCACCUUUCAAAGUUGACCUGCAGAGGAAGGGGGAUGUCACAAUCUUGCCCACAGGCUAGAUCCAUCUUCCCCCCAAGCCCUGGUUAUAUAGGAUCACAUAGGUUGGGGACAAACACUAGGUUUUGAGAAGGUAUGGUAAAUGUCAUCAGUAUUCAUGAUGUAUAUAAACUUUUCUUUGUUCUCAUCCAGUUAGAAUCUCCAGUUAUAUAGGCUUCACAGGUUUUUACAGUGCCACAAAUGCCAAAAAACCUCUUUACUGGAGGUGAUGGUACAAACAAUACUGUCACCUACACUCUGAAGGCAGGGAAGCACUACUGUCUGUCUCCAGACAGAAACAUUCUGAAGAGU